rnacentral:tRNA from 1 species
GCCUGGGUGGCUCAGUCGGUUGAGCGUCCGACUUCGGCUCAGGUCAUGAUCUCACAGUUUGUGGGUUCAAGCCCUGCAUCAGGCU